UAUCGUCCUGGCCUUCUGUUCCGUGCUGGUCAUGUUGCUGGUAUGCUCAUGCUAGUGGAGGUCUGGAACUCUUGCUUAGUGUCAAGUGGUUCAGCUAAAUUCUAUAUAUGUCCAGGGUCAAAAUUAAUUCAUUAUCAUUAAAACUAAAUUACAACUAAAGAUCGCUUAGACAAACCUCUCCCUCCUCUCGAGGUAUUGGCGUUAAAUGGAGAUCCUGUCCUCUAUUAAAUUGAAAUGAAUCGAGCGGAGUUUCACUAGUAUAUGCAGUAGUCCCAAUACAGCCCAACAUAACAUCAAAGGCUCGUAAACUUGCUUUCACUCUACGAUCCACGGUGUCGUCAUCACUGACCAAAAUCAUUUUCCCUUCAGUUUUUGACAUUGUUUUUCCAUCCGGAGAUGUAUGAUUUUGACUUUUCAAAUUUGAAGGUGGAUCGGGAGCAACUAGUUGUUUGCUUGAUCCUCCGUGAUACUUUGAUGUCAACUCUCCCAAUAUUUUCUCUAUGUUUUCCAAUCUGUGUUCAAUGGUUUGGAAUGACUCUUUGUUUUGUGCGACGAAUGACCCAAACCUUUCCAUUAGUAACUAAAAAGCAUCAUUAUUCGCAUUGUUCCACCCAGGAGGUUCUGCUUGUUCAGGCUUAUGAAGCCGAUCAGGGUCACGCAUCGAAACCUAAAAUAAUUCAUAAAAUAAUAACAAUUUAGUCCAAAAAUAUGGUAAUUGAUUUCAUUAAAAUAGUAUGCAUGUAUUCUAUACCUUAUUGCUUUUGAUGCUGAUAAAUGCAUAUUUUUCAUAUAUUUUGUUAUUAAUUUCUCCAUCUUUUUCUUGUUUUGAUAUGAAACAUUCUAGUUAUUUUAGUUAAUUUUUAAUUGAAUAUGGAAUUAAUUAAUAUACAUAUUUUACCCUUUAUUAUAUAUUUGCUAGUUAUUUUUAUUUAUUAUUUUUAAUUAAUUGUAUUAUUUUAUUGAAUAGGGAAUUAAUUGGAGAUUGUGGAUAAAAAGGACAUGAAGAAGUUCAAACAAAAAAAUCUUAUUGUACAGAGCAAUGUUUGAAAAUUAUCAUAGAUAAACAACUUCAAUUCACAUAGAAAUAAUAGUGGUGGAUACUUACUGCAUAUAUUGUCGGUAAAUACCAGUUUAUUGGUGCAUCACUGCGUUUAGCCCGUUCAUAUAGUGUGAGGUGAUAUGCUAUCAUGGUGAGAAUCUAAAACAGUGGUCAAUAAGUGAGAACUUAGUAUUCAAUUUUGCAAUAAGGCAUCCAAACAUAUAGUACGAUGAUGUGAGUGCCAAUGCACCACAAACCUCUCCACUCAGAGCCGUGUUAGGCAAAAGGCUCAUGAAAUUAUGCCUGGAGAUAAAUUGAUCAUCAGUAGAGACAACGAUUUCGCUGAAAACACAAACAAGUAAUAAAGUGUUAGCUAAUCAAUAUAUAUGUAUAGGGGAAUAAAAAAUACAAAGCCCUAUAAACCACAAGUACCUUCCGUUACCACCUUUAUCAAAUGCAUAUUGAAUGAGCUUCAAUUGGUCAAGAGAAAGGGGGUUAUUUACAUAGAAAUGACCAGCUUUAAACUUAGCCUUCGCUCCCCGAGACACUUUAUCAUAAGGAGAGAGUUGGUAUCGUCCUGGCCUUCUGUUCCGUGCUGGUCAUGUUGCUGGUAUGCUCAUGCUAGUGGAGGUCUGGAACUCUUGCUUAGUGUCAAGUGGUUCAGCUAAAUUCUAUAUAUGUCCAGGGUCAAAAUUAAUUCAUUAUCAUUAAAACUAAAUUACAACUAAAGAUCGCUUAGACAAACCUCUCCCUCCUCUCGAGGUAUUGGCGUUAAAUGGAGAUCAUGUU
rnacentral:lncRNA from 1 species